GACGAACGCUGGCGGCGUGCUUAACACAUGCAAGUCGAACGGAAAGGCCCUGCUUUUGUGGGGUGCUCGAGUGGCGAACGGGUGAGUAACACGUGAGUAACCUGCCCUUGACUUUGGGAUAACUUCAGGAAACUGGGGCUAAUACCGGAUAGGAGCUCCUGCUGCAUGGUGGGGGUUGGAAAGUUUCGGCGGUUGGGGAUGGACUCGCGGCUUAUCAGCUUGUUGGUGGGGUAGUGGCUUACCAAGGCUUUGACGGGUAGCCGGCCUGAGAGGGUGACCGGCCACAUUGGGACUGAGAUACGGCCCAGACUCCUACGGGAGGCAGCAGUGGGGAAUAUUGCACAAUGGGCGGAAGCCUGAUGCAGCAACGCCGCGUGCGGGAUGACGGCCUUCGGGUUGUAAACCGCUUUCGCCUGUGACGAAGCGUGAGUGACGGUAAUGGGUAAAGAAGCACCGGCUAACUACGUGCCAGCAGCCGCGGUGAUACGUAGGGUGCGAGCGUUGUCCGGAUUUAUUGGGUGUAAAGGGCUCGUAGGUGGUUGAUCGCGUCGGAAGUGUAAUCUUGGGGCUUAACCCUGAGCGUGCUUUCGAUACGGGUUGACUUGAGGAAGGUAGGGGAGAAUGGAAUUCCUGGUGGAGCGGUGGAAUGCGCAGAUAUCAGGAGGAACACCAGUGGCGAAGGCGGUUCUCUGGGCCUUUCCUGACGCUGAGGAGCGAAAGCGUGGGGAGCGAACAGGCUUAGAUACCCUGGUAGUCCACGCUGUAAACGGUGGGUACUAGGUGUGGGGUCCAUUCCACGGGUUCCGUGCCGUAGCUAACGCUUUAAGUACCCCGCCUGGGGAGUACGGCCGCAAGGCUAAAACUCAAAGGAAUUGACGGGGCCCCGCACAAGCGGCGGAGCAUGCGGAUUAAUUCGAUGCAACGCGUAGAACCUUACCUGGGUUUGACAUGGAUCGGGAGUGCUCAGAGAUGGGUGUGCCUCUUUUGGGGUCGGUUCACAGGUGGUGCAUGGCUGUCGUCAGCUCGUGUCGUGAGAUGUUGGGUUAAGUCCCGCAACGAGCGCAACCCUUGUUCACUGUUGCCAGCACGUUAUGGUGGGGACUCAGUGGAGACCGCCGGGGUCAACUCGGAGGAAGGUGGGGAUGACGUCAAGUCAUCAUGCCCCUUAUGUCAGGGCUUCACGCAUGCUACAAUGGCUGGUACAGAGAGUGGCGAGCCUGUGAGGGUGAGCGAAUCUCGGAAAGCCGGUCCCAGUUCGGAUUGGGGUCUGCAACUCGACCUCAUGAAGUCGGAGUCGCUAGUAAUCGCAGAUCAGCAACGCUGCGGUGAAUACGUUCCCGGG
rnacentral:rRNA from 1 species